rnacentral:tRNA from 1 species
UGUCAAGGGAUGGGAAUCGAACCCACGACCUUCAGCUUACCGGGCAGAUGCCAUGACCACUAGGCUACCCUGGAC